AGUGAACGCUGGCGGUAGGCCUAACACAUGCAAGUCGAACGGCAGCACAGUAAGAGCUUGCUCUUACGGGUGGCGAGUGGCGGACGGGUGAGGAAUACAUCGGAAUCUACUUUUUCGUGGGGGAUAACGUAGGGAAACUUACGCUAAUACCGCAUACGACCUACGGGUGAAAGCAGGGGAUCUUCGGACCUUGCGCGAUUGAAUGAGCCGAUGUCGGAUUAGCUAGUUGGCGUGGUAAAGGCCCACCAAGGCGGCGAUCCGUAGCUGGUCUGAGGGGAUGAUCAGCAACACUGGAACGGGGACACGGACCAGACUCCUACGGGAGGCAGCAGUGGGGAAUAUUGGACAAGGGGCGCAAGCCUGAUCCAGCCAUACCGCGUGGGUGAAGAAGGCCUUCGGGUUGUAGAGCCCUUUUGUUGGGAAAGAAAAGCAGCAGGUUAAUACCCCGCUGUUCUGACGGUACCCAAAGAAUAAGCACCGGCUAACUUCGUG
rnacentral:rRNA from 1 species